GGGCGAGGCUCUUCUCGUUCUGGGCCUCAGCUUCCCCACGUGUAGAUGGGGAGGGAGGACCGGACGACCCGCGGCGGCUUUGCAGCCCGCACGCCCUAGGUGUACCUGAGGUGCACCGGUGGGGAAGUGGGUGCUACGUCUGCCCUGGCCCCCAAGAUCGGCCCCCUGGGUCUGUCUCCAAAAAAGGUGGGCGAUGACAUUGCCAAGGCAACCGGUGAUUGGAAGGGUCUGAGGAUCACGGUGAAACUGACUAUCCAGAACCGACAGGCUCAGAUUGAGGUGGUACCUUCUGCCUCUGCUCUGAUCAUCAAAGCCCUCAAGGAACCGCCAAGAGACCGGAAGAAGCAGAAAAACAUUAAGCACAGUGGAAAUAUCACCUUUGAUGAGAUUGUGAACAUUGCUCGACAGAUGCGACACCGGUCACUGGCCAGAGAACUCUCUGGAACCAUUAAAGAGAUCCUGGGGACUGCCCAGUCUGUGGGCUGCAAUGUUGAUGGCCGCCACCCUCAUGACGUCAUAGACGACAUCAACAGUGGUGCAGUGGAAUGCCCAGCUAGUUAAGAUCUGCUGAGGACAAUACUUCAAUAAAGGAUCACUUGACAACUAACCGGCUCUUGGAUGUGGCCUCUUCCUUGGGGGAGCUAGCUCCUUCGUGGUCAAAUGGUGGUUGGUGGGGUGGUCAGGUGGCCAGUGGGCACCUGAGG